rnacentral:rRNA from 1 species
AACGAACGCUGGCGGCAGGCUUAACACAUGCAAGUCGAACGCGCCCUUCGGGGCGAGUGGCAGACGGGUGAGUAACGCGUGGGAACCUACCUUUUGGUACGGAAUAACUCAGGGAAACUUGAGCUAAUACCGUAUGUGCCCUUCGGGGGAAAGAUUUAUCGCCAAAGGAUGGGCCCGCGUCGGAUUAGCUAGUUGGUGGGGUAAUGGCCUACCAAGGCGACGAUCCGUAGCUGGUCUGAGAGGAUGAUCAGCCACACUGGGACUGAGACACGGCCCAGACUCCUACGGGAGGCAGCAGUGGGGAAUAUUGGACAAUGGGGGCAACCCUGAUCCAGCCAUGCCGCGUGAGUGAUGAAGGCCUUAGGGUUGUAAAGCUCUUUCGCCGGUGAAGAUAAUGACGGUAACCGGAGAAGAAGCCCCGGCUAACUUCGUGCCAGCAGCCGCGGUAAAAC